AAUCCAAUCAAGCCUGGCUUGGUGUUGGGCGCCGGGAGUCCCCCGCGCCUCAAUUUCACCGGCUGGCCGUCGCCCGUCUUAGCGUUGUGACACACGUUUCGCUGACGAGGGGAGCGGACCACGCCGUUAAAACUCCAUGAAUUUCAAUCGAAAUUCGAUUA
rnacentral:misc_RNA from 1 species